CACGUGGAUAAUCUACCCGACAGUCAGGGAUAACAUUCCGAAAGGAAUGCUAAUACCUGAUAAGCCUACGCCCUCCUCGGAGGAAGUAGGAAAAGGUGGGGACCUUCGGGCCUGCCGUUGUUGGAUGAGUCCGCGGCCCACUAGCUAGUUGGUAGGGUAAUGGCCUACCAAGGCUACGAUGGUAGCUGGUCUGAGAGGAUGAUCAGCCACACUGGAACUGAGACACGGUCCAG
rnacentral:rRNA from 1 species